rnacentral:rRNA from 1 species
CAACAGCCGCGGUAAUACGUAGGGUGCGAGUGUUAAUCGGAAUUACUGGGCGUAAAGCGUGCGCAGGCGGUUCGUUAAGACAGAUGUGAAAUCCCCGGGCUUAACCUGGGAACUGCAUUUGUGACUGGCGAGCUAGAGUAUGGCAGAGGGGGGUAGAAUUCCACGUGUAGCAGUGAAAUGCGUAGAGAUGUGGAGGAAUACCGAUGGCGAAGGCAGCCCCCCGGGCCAAUACUGACGCUCAUGCACGAAAGCGUGGGGAGCAAACAGGAUUAGAUACCCCCGUAGUCCCUGUCUCUUAUAC